rnacentral:snRNA from 13 species
CUAUAUGUAGCUGUAUGUACACUAAAAUUGGAACGAUACAUGAAAUGAUAGCAUGACCCCUGCGCAAUGGUAACAAGAUGGGAAAUUAUCACCUUUUUC